rnacentral:rRNA from 1 species
AUUGAACGCUGGCGGCAUGCCUUACACAUGCAAGUCGAACGGUAACAGGUCUUCGGAUGCUGACGAGUGGCGAACGGGUGAGUAAUACAUCGGAACGUGCCCGAUCGUGGGGGAUAACGAAGCGAAAGCUUUGCUAAUACCGCAUAGGAUCUACGGAUGAAAGCAGGGGACCGCAAGGCCUUGCGCGAACGGAGCGGCCGAUGUCAGAUUAGGUAGUUGGUGGGAUAAAAGCUUACCAAGCCGACGAUCUGUAGCUGGUCUGAGAGGACGACCAGCCACACUGGAACUGAGACACGGGCCAGACUCCUACGGGAGGCAGCAGUGGGGAAUUUUGGACAAUGGGCGAAAGCCUGAUCCAGCCAUGCCGCGUGCAGGAUGAAGGCCUUCGGGUUGUAAACUGCUUUUGUACGGAACGAAAAGACGCUGGUUAAUACCUGGGGUUCAUGACGGUACCGUAAGAAUAAGCACCGGCUAACUACGUG